rnacentral:rRNA from 1 species
AAAUUGAAGAGUUUGAUCAUGGCUCAGAUUGAACGCUGGCGGCAGGCCUAACACAUGCAAGUCGAACGGUAACAGGAAGCAGCUUGCUGCUUCGCUGACGAGUGGUGGACGGGUGAGUAAUGUCUGGGAAACUGCCUGAUGGAGGGGGAUAACUACUGGAAACGGUGGCUAAUACCGCAUAACGUCGCAAGACCAAAGAGGGGGACCUUCGGGCCUCUUGCCAUCAGAUGUGCCCAGAUGGGAUUAGCU